rnacentral:lncRNA from 1 species
AAAAAUGCUUCGUAAAUUGUAAUAUGCGUAAUAUGCAUUCGUGGGUUUAGUACUUUAUGCCUGACAUAACAAGUUUACGCUGAGUAUUACCAUUCAUUAUAGCAGUUAUGUCAAUCUUUUAUGCACUCGUGGGAUCAACUUAGUGCUAGGGCAUUGAAUAUCGAACAAUACGUCAAUUUCAAUGAUUUUGGGUUUUUUUGAGACACCCUGUAUGUUGUUCAGGUUUAUGCAAAAAUGUGGUCUUUCAUCGUCACGUGCAUAUUGU